CAUUUAGUGAUUUUACAUUGUAAAAACCUUACAUGUUUUCCAAACAACAUAGGUUCUCUUAAAUCCCUUACACAUUUAGAUAUUUCAUGUUGUGAAAACCUUACAUGUCUUCCAAACAACAUGGGUUCUCUUAAAUCCCUUACACAUUUAGAGAUUUCAGGUUGUAAAAACCUUACAUGUCUUCCAGACAACAUGGGUUCUCUUAAAUCCCUUACAUAUUUAAAGAUUUUAAGAUGUAAAAACCUUACAUGUCUUCCAAACAGCAUGGGUUCUCUUAAAUCCCUUACAUAUUUAAAGAUUUUAAGAUGUAAAAACCUUACAUGUCUUCCAAACAGCAUGUGUUCUCUUAAAUCCCUUACAUAUUUAGAGAUUAAAUUUUGUAAAAACCUUACAUGUCUUCCAAACAACAUGGGUUCUUUUAAAUCCCUUACACAUUUAGUGAUUUAUUAUUGUCCAAAUCUCACCUCUCUUCCCAACGACAUGGGUUCUCUUAAAUCCCUUACACAUUUAAAGAUUUCAUCUUGUAAAAAGCUCACAUGUCUUCCAAACAACAUGGGUUCUCUUAAAUCCCUUAUACAUUUACAGAUUUCAUAUUGUGAAAACCUUUCAUGUCUUCCAAACAACAUGGGUUCUCUUAAAUCCCUUACACAUUUAGAAAUUUCAAAUUGUAAAAACCUUACAUGUCUUCCAAACAACAUGGGUUCUCUUAAAUCCCUUACACAUUUAGAGAUUUCAAAUUGUUAAAACCUCAUAUGUCUUCCAAACAAUAUGGGUUCUCUUAAAUCCCUUACACAUUUAGAGAUUUCAUUUUGUGAAAACCUUACAUGUCUUCCAAACAACAUGGGUUGUCUCCAAUCCCUUACACCUUUAACAAUUGAAUCUUGUCCAAGUUUGGUUGAUAAUUCUUUUGCCCUGGAAUGUCUUACUUCUCUAAAAGAAAUAGAAGUGGCCGGCUGUGAUCAAUGGAUUAGAAAUUGGUCUGACGAUGCAAUAACCAGAUUUUUCUCAGUUGAAGAAGGUUCAUUGAUUUCGAUAUGCAUUAAGGAUGAUGAUAUUGAUUUAUUGUCUAGAUGGUUACGAAAGAAGAUUGAAUAUUCCACCAAAAUAACACAAACAUUGAUAAUCAACGGUGAUCAUCGAGGCAGUGAUUUCUAUAGAGGGAGACACCAUCUCAGUAUUUGUUGUUUUAAACAAGAGAAAUUACCAGAAGAGUUGGUGCAUGUUCAGGAUCUUCAAAUCAUGGCCGUUGAAAAUUGUCCAAAUCUAAAUUGCUUGCCGAAUGGGAUGAAAAAACCACAAUUUUUGAAAAUUGAGAAUUGCCCGAUGUUGGAGAAGAAUUGUGAAGAAAGAGGUUACGAGUAUGGUGAUGAAAUUGAAUCAAUCAUGACCUUUCAUAAUUUUUAAAAUAAAUUAAUCAUCUCACAACCGUUCAUUUAUUAUUAUUAUUAUUUUCUCUAUUAGAGUAUACCACUGUGUAAACUGUUUUUUUCUUCUUCCGUUUAUCGGUAAAUAACGAUAUUUUUCGUACGAAUAUGUCGUUCACAGAAACAUCUCGUACAAUGUUUUUAAAUUUCACUAUACCUCCGAUCGCUCUCUGUUUCUUUCUCAUUUAUGCUUUUUGAUUUUCUCUCUCCUCCCCUUCGCCGCCUAAAUCGUUCGCCGAGAAAUCGCCCGUCGAAAUCAUCCGCCAAACGCUCGUGCGAAGUCGUGUCCUCGCCGAUAUCGUCGUCUCCAAGUCUCCCCCGUCUUCCCAAGUCCAAAUCUCACGUUCUCGUCGUCUUCAUUGUUCCCAAGUCCUCGUCGAUCUUGUCCGCACCAUAUUCGUCUUCAUCUUAAAGUCUUAAAGUACGUAUUCGAAACCGCCGCCGUUGUCGAUGUCAUUAUUUUUUGGGUAUCCACUGACGGCGUCUUCAUCUUCUACAUUUGAAUAAACCAAACCCAUGCAUAUUUGUCAAUGAUGUAUUGUCUUCCGUCAAGGUAGCGGAACACUUUUUGAUCCCACCAUAUUCUUUGAUUGGAUCGAACCAGAGGUAGAUUCUUUGCUCUCUAUCUCCCUUUCCACCUGUGAUCGAUCGAACACGUUGGUCUGAACAAUUAAUGUAUGGCUCUUUGAGUUUUUUUUCCCAAGAACUCGAAGUCAAUCUCAUCGUGUUCAGAAUUCUGUGACUGAAGACUGAAGAAGAAGAACCACGAGGAUGGUGCAUGGUGGUGGUGAGAUAAUGAGAUUUAUCAGUACUGGUGAGAAUGAAAAACAUAGACUUACAUAGAAUGCAGUGGCUGUUCCGGCAAAAUCCCCGGGAACCAUCUUAAUCUGUAUACUCAAGUGUCCAAACAGGUAAGACCAUAUAUAAUUUUUCCUAUUAAUCUUCUAGCUGCCUCUCUAAUUUUUGCUUCUUUUCUAAUUUUUUUUUUAUAUCUUUGAAUAAUUUAAAUCUAGUUAAGUUACACUUCUUUUCAAAUUCAAACUCUUAUUUUCACAUUUAGGGGAGUGGGUCGGGUCAAACCUGAAUUCGAACAUGUCGGGUCUAAGUUUGGUUGGAUAUUAUCGGUCAUAAAACCCGAUAUACCUGAACCCGAGUUUUUUUCACCCGAUAUGAAGGACUUGAACCUGAGUUUUUUUCACUUGAUUUUUUUCGGGUCGGGUUCAGAUAAGACGUCCCGAACCAAACUCGACUCUCCUUAAACCCGAAUUUUUUUAUAAAAAUAUCUUAAAAUAAAAAUAACGACGUCUGCAAGGGGAUUGACUGUAACAUCUGCGAUCUCCAUUCCAACAGAAAAAAAAUUAGUAAAUUUGAAAGAAAAAAACGAAAAUGAAAUUCCCUAAAUCUUCACUGCACAAAUUGGUAAAAUUGAAAUUGAAUUUCAUUAAAGAAUAUGAUUUAACAUUACAUCUUUUAUCUUUACAUAGCCUUAGACUUAACCUCUAACUAUAUAUAACUGCCUAACUGUAUUCUAAACUCAUUUAUAACUUCAUUCUCUAAUACUGAUUACUGUACAUUUUUUUCCAAUAUAUAAUAUUAAGCAAAUUUGACUACAAGCAUCAAAACUGAGGAUCAAAAUUUUCAAGACGAGGAAAAAAAACGAAAUUAAAAUUAGAAUAGUAUGUUGAUGUUCUCACCUAAUUUGACAUUAUCAAGAGAGUUGAAUAUGGAUAUAAUGUCAUAUAAUGGUAGAAAACAAUGAAUUAAUUUAAACAACAUUUAUCAAUCAAAUCCAUCAAUCAGACCAUCAACUGCAAGUUAAUUUCAUGUGUUGAACUCAAUUAAACAAUACUGAACAACCAGAAUGUGAAAUUCAUGGUGAUCGCGACAAUAACAUAUUACCAGUUAUUGCUAGUACGUAUUAUGCAGUCAUUCUAAGUUGUUUUUCAGCUUACAACAUUUAUUUUGCUAAACUCUCAUCCUGAUGUUUUCUGCAGCUUUUACUUGAAACAAGUGUGGAUGUUCCUGAAAAAUAAAACAUGAUCAGCAAAAUCUAAACAACUUUUCCAAUAACCUUUAUUUAAAAACACUUUUCCAAUGAUCAAACAAUAUCCUCAAACCAAUUAAUUCCACUUUAUUAUUUCACCCUUUCAUUUUGAAUUCAAACAAAAGAUUAAUAAAAUAAAUCAACUGUGCUUUAUUCAUAAAUAUCAAACUAUCCCACAAUAAAUGCAUCAAAAUGAAAACAAAAAAGACAAUGCUUUUACCAUUGCUUCUCGAGCAGUGAGCCUGUCCUGAUGAUCAAUCAUAGCGAAGCAGCUUGUUAAGAAAAUCUAUGGCCUGUAUAUUUCUUUGAGUAAACAAGUGUUUAAAGGUUCGGAGUUUAACUAUUUGUUAGCUCAGGAGAAACUAAAUGUUGAUUGUCUCCAUUAAUGAAUUUGGACCAUGCUUUCCUGCUAUGCCUGGAAAUAUAUUAAUAUUAACAAACAUAUAUAUCACAUGUUUUCAUGUCUCCAAUUCUUUUAAUGAAUAUUUAUCUAUUUAAGAAAUUAAGAUAAAAACAGUAUAAUUCAAUAUCUCGUCGUCGUCAUCGUCGGAUCCAUCUUUAGAUUUGACUAUUUGAGUUUUUGACUAAUAAUUAUUUGAUGUUUUAUCUUAUUUAAAAUUUUAAAAAUUAUUUAAGAAUUAUUUGAUCAAAUUUUUCAUAUUAUGUAAAUAACAGAGUUUUUUAUGCAAAAUGUGAAAAAAAUUAUUAAACUCGAACACGACCAAACCCUACAUUCAAAUCGAGUUUUAUAAUUUUAGAUGUUCGCGAGUUUUGACUUGAACCCGAUUUUAAAACUUAGGUUCGAUUUUGGGUCAGGGCAAACCCAAGCCAUGCCCAUUCCUAAUUCAACUCUGAUGGAUCGUGGCUUACAAAUCGGGCGCUCACACACACACACACACACAAUUCUCUCUCUCAAGGAUUUAGUGUAUUCUCUCUCUAUUUUCCAGCCCGGCCCCUCCCUUGUUGGACCAGGGGAGGAAUUUAUAGGUUCAUCCCCGUGCCUCUUGGCUUAUAGACCUCCCUUGGCCCAGGCCCGUCGUGCGGUCGAGCCCGUGGUCGGUUCGGUCCAUGAUCCGUUGGACGGACCACGGCACCAACAAACUCAUAUUAUUAUUACCAUCAUACCAUUAAGGAUGAUUUUAUCGUUAAAUCCUUGUAGUGUUUUUAUUUUUACAUCGAAUUGACGAGUUUUAAUUUUAAUGGAAUGCUAGAGAAAGGAGACGGAUAGUUGAUAAAAUAUUUGUUUAGUAUUUGAAAGGUCAUGGGUUCAAUUUCCCAUGUAUCCAAAUAAUUAUUUCUUUUAAUUCGAGUCCAGACUCGUGGGCUCGAGUCUGACAAUUUUUAAAACGAGCCCGACCUCGACCAAACCAGGCUCGGCGAGCUCGAGUCCGAGCCUGGAUAAUUUCUUAAAGAGCCGAGCCCGAGCCUGACUUUAUAAGCAAAAGCUCGACUCGGCUCGUUUGACACCCUAGAGCCAGGGUAGUAGCUAUUACUGCAAUAUUAUAUGAGUACAUAAGUAGACAGAUAACCAGAAUAAAGGUUUUUUCCAGAAUAUUAAAAGAUGCAAGUCACACUGAUUUUUUUAAUCCAUAAUCUGUUGUUCUACACUUCAACAUCAUCUCAUUACAGAUUGCAAAUUUGCAAGGGGGUAUAAGAAGACGAAUCUGCACAUUAGUUUAGUAAUUGUAAUAAUUGUCAAUCAACUAAAAUCGGAAAGUAAAUCCUAAAUCAUAACUACUUACCAAAUCAACUAGCAUGGGGUUAAUUAUGAAUAUCCCUUAAACAUAAUAAAAUAUUAAAUGCAAUAUAUGGGGUGGACGUGCAUGGUGUGCAUUGAGAGUAAAUUUUUUAAUAAACGUACUCGUCUAACUUGGAUGUCUUUUUUGCUCGUUUGGCCAAGAAAAUAACAAGCUAUAUGCCAACAAAUUCGUUGAAUCGUCAAACUCAAUAAUAAUGCCAUAAGAUCGACAAUGAGUCAUGUUCAAAGAAAAACCUGUGGACCAUGGCUGAUUGACUAUUCCUUUAAAUGGUUCUUAAUUUAUAAGGGUGAGCCUGGGUCGGUUCAAAUCCGAACCCGGCGAAUCCGACCCGAACCCAAACAUGUUGGGUGUCGAACCCGAAUUUUUUUCACCCAAUUCAACCGAAACCUGAAUUUUUUUAUAAAAAAACCUUAAAAUAUAAAUAAUUAUAUAAAUAAAAUUUUAUUUUAUAUAAAAUAUUUUAUAAAAAUUUAAUAUACACAUUUAUUAAAUUUUUUUCUUCUUUUAAAAUCUAAACCCUAAUAUUAUUAUCAUUUUCCUAUAUAUUCUCUUCCAUUUUCAUCUUUCCUUUCCUCACCGUCGUUUUCGCCUAAUAAUUAUUUAAUAUUUUAAAAAUUAUUUGAUCAAAUUAUUUAAAUAACAAGGAUUUUUAUGCAAAAUUUUUAAAAAAUAUCAAAUCCGGCCCCGAACCCGACCAAAUCCGACAUCCAAUUCAGGUUCGGGUUAUAUAAUUUUAGAUGUUCCCGAUUUUGACUCGAACUCGAUUUCGGAUCAUGGCAAAUCCGACCCAUAUCCAUUCCUAGUUCUUUAUUCAUAGCUCACAUUUAUUUAAUCUUUUUUUUGUCGUUUUCUAUUAUUUAAUAACGUAGGAGUUAAGACCAAAUGGGCUCCGUAACUUUUCUCUCUCUCUAUAUAUAUAAAAUUGUUAUACCAGAGCCAAAUAAUAUAUUAUCGGAUAAAUCUAAUUGAAACGGAUAUCAAUUUUACUAUCUGGUUUGUAAUCAGGCAGAAACGGAUAUGUAUAUAGUAGUGAUAUUCGUCGUUAACUACCAAUAUAUAAACGUUAUAUGUAUAAAUUAAUAAAAUUAGAAUAGUUAAAUAUAAAAAUUUAAAUAACUCAUUCAAUAUUAAAUUAUUAGAAUUUAAACUCUCAUUUUCACAUUUAAAAUUUAUUUACAAUAUUCAACUUAGGGGUGGGACCCGAAUCUGAACAUAUUCAUUCCUAAUUCAACGACUCUUAUAUUAUUAUUACUAUCAUACCAUUAAGGAUAAUUUUAUAGUUAAAUCCUUGUAGUGUUUUAUUUUUACAUUAAAUUGACGAGUUUUAGUUUUAACGGAAUUCUAGAGGAGAAAGGAGACUAUGGAACAGGAACUAUCAGAUGAGAGCCAUAUAGGGGUAGUAGUCAUUUUUUGCGUUUUUCAAACUUAAAAUGAAAUUAUAUGAAAAUCAGUUGUUAAUAAUGAUACAGAUAAAUGAUUGUCUCAAUUAAACAUUUAAACCCUUAUAUAUCACUUCUAUGAAGGUUUUUAACUAUAAAUAAGGAAAAUUAUAUAUUGAUAUAGUUCGUAUACUUAUAAUCGAAAGUCAAACUCAAUAAUAAGGCGAAAGAAGACGACUGGUUCAUUUUUUAUGUGCGUCACGUAGGACCAUCUAGACACGGAGAAUGACGUUAUGUGGUUGGUUGAGUGAUCAAGUUGCGUGGAUGGUUGGAAAUUAUAAUGGAUAAUAAAAAUAAUAUUCCCUAAAUUCAAUUAGAUCCUUAUCCUAAUUUAAAUCAGUUUAUUUCAAUCACUUAAUUUUAUUUUUUUCAAUGCAUCAACGGACCAAAUUAAACGUUUCCAAUUAUAAAGAAAGAUCAAAUUUGACCACCGGUUCCGAAUAUUGUCAUUCUACCUUUCAAAAUUUCUUCUCCGCAAACGAUCGAAGCCAUGGAAUCGGUGCUAUCAUUUCCUCUGGGAGAGGCCUCAAAAAGUCUCAUGAAAACUCUGGGGGCGGAAAUCACACUCAUAAAAAAUGCUCCGGACGAAUUGGAAAACCUGAAAAGACUCAAGACUGUCAUCGCCAAUGUUCAACAAGACGUUGCCGGCCAGGAAUUAAGCCAACAACAUGCUGGUUGGCUCGAUGAGAUGAUUGAUGCUGCGUAUGAUAUCGAGGAUAUCAUAGAUCUGUCUAGUACAGAGAUUCUUCGACGGAGAAGCUACAACAACAGGAAAUUAACUCGUUAUACCUGCCGGGUAAUUGAUUUUUUUUCUUACACCAACAAUCCUCUUAUUUUUCGCCACAAAAUAGGAAAAAGUGUGCAAAAAACAUUCGCUAGAUUGGCUAAUAUUGCGAAAGAGAAGGGAUACCAUCUUACUCUUAGCGGGAGGGAUGGAGUGGAAAAUCUGAGUACAAAGAUGCCAGAGACCUUUUCUGAAAUGGGUGGGGAUGUUGUACUGGGAAGAGAUCAUGAUCUCAAAAUUAUACUUGAACAAUUAUUGUUUAAAGAGGAAACAAACAUCGAGGUGCUUGUUUUAGUCGGAAUGGGUGGUGUUGGGAAGACUGCACUUGCAAAACUAGUGUACAAUAAUAGUCAAGUAGAUGCUCUCUUUGGUGAAAGAAAGCUUUGGGUUUGCGUAUCAGAAAUUUUUGAUCUGUCGAAAAUUUGCAAACAUGUUAUUGAGCAAAUAGAUGGAGAGUGUAAAGUCAAAGGAUUGCAAGCGUUGAGCAAGAAAUUAAAAGAGCUUUUACAAACAAACAUAUAUUUAUUAGUUUUGGACGAUGUUUGGACCAAUUCAAGUUUAACUUUGGAUUCUUGGUCGAAUAUGAAAUUAUUGUUUCAUAAUUGUAAGAUUCUGCUAACAACUCGUGAGGAGAAUGUAAAAUCUGUGAUUUUACCAGAACCCUACAUGCAUCGUGUGGGAUGUCUACCUGAGGAUGCUUCCUGGUCAUUGUUCAAGAAUAUUGCAUUUUCCAAUGGUAACGUUCCAGAGGAAUUGAAAGACAUCAGCAAAAGUAUUAUGAAAAAAUGCAAAGGUGUACCUCUAGCUGUGAGGGUUCUUGGUAGCAUGAUGCGUAAAAAAAAUUUUAUUUACUGGAAAGAGAUUGAGAAAAACAAUAUUUUUGAUCCUAAUAUUGAAGGUGAAAAUAGAAUAUUCUCAAUUCUAAAAUUCAGCUAUCAUAAUCUUCCUUUAAAGUCAAAGUUUUGCUUUGUCUACUGUUCUAUUUUCCCCAAAGAUUCGGAUAUAGAGAAAAUAGAAUUGAUCCAACAAUGGGCAGGCAAUGGUUUUAUUUCGCUUAACGAGGGAAAUAAGAUUUUCGAAGAUUUAUUGUCAAGAUGUUUCUUCCAAGAUGUCGAGAAAGAUGUUUACGGAAGCAUUACAACAUUUAAAAUGCAUAAUUUAAUCCAUGACCUUGCUGAAGCGAUUGCUAAGUCUCUGCAGUAUGGAAUCUUCGAUGACAGUAUUCGAGAUAGAAAGCAAGUUCGUUAUUUAUCGAUGAUAUUAAACAUGGGAGAAGAAGUUUCUUAUUCAGAUAUUUCAAUCAAAUUGAAAGAUGCAUGUGUAUUACGAACAUUGCAGUCUUCAUCUUCUGAUAUAGUAAGUGAGAAAUUUCUGGAUAAUUGCUUCACCAAGUUCAAAUUCUUGCGGGUUUUGGUUUGUAGUGGUCAGUAUAAGCUUAAACAUGUUCCAGCUUCCAUCGACAACCUCAAGCUUCUGAGAUACGUUGACUUCUCUUAUAUGGGCAUAACAAGACUCCCAGAAACGAUAUGCAACCUUCCAAAUUUACAGACGUUGAAAAUCAACUAUUGCUUUAAUCUUACUGUUUUGCCAAAGAAGUUGAGAAAAUUAUCCGAGUUAAGGUAUUUGGAAAAUGAUAGAUGUAUUGGUUUGGAUUCAAUGCCUGUUGGGAUAGAUCGCUUGAGUCUUUUGCAAACAUUGAAUACUUUCGUAGUGAAUGAUGGAGGAACAAAUUUAAAUGAAUUAAGACAUCUGGAUCAUCUAAAAAGAAGUCUUUGUAUACGAAAUCUUGACAGAAUUCAAAAUGUUGUUUUGGAAAAUGGAAUAUUAAAUAGAAAGAACAAUCUUGCAUCAUUGGAGCUGUUAUGGAGAUUGCAGGAAGAAAAUGAAGUAACGAAUCAGAAUGAUGAAAAAGUAUUACAAGCUUUACAACCACAUCCCAAUUUGAAAUCUUUAAAUAUAACCAGGUUUAAUGGAUUCUUCAUUCCCUUAGACAUGAGUUGUCUCCAAUCCCUUAUCUACAUGAAGAUUUCUGAUUGUAAAAACCUUACCACUCUUCCCAACGACAUAUGUUCUUUCCAAUCCCUUACACAUUUAAAGAUUAAAAAGUGUUACAACCUCACCUCUCUUUCCAACGACAUGUGUUCUCUCCAAUCCCUUACACAUUUAAAGAUUAAACAUUGUUACAACCUCACCUCUCUUCCCAACGACAUGUGUUCUCUCCAAUCCCUUACACAUUUAAAGAUUUCUUAUUGUCGAAACCUCACUACUCUUCCCAACGACGUGUGUUUUCUCCAAUCCCUUACACAUUUAAAGAUUUCUGAUUGUCGAAACCUCACCACUCUUUCCAACGACAUGGGUUGUUUCCAAUCCCUUACACAUUUAGAGAUUUCUUCUUUUGAAAACCUUACCUCUCUUUUCAACGACAUGAGUUUUCUCCAAUCCCUUACACAUUUAAAGAUUAAAGAUUUUGAAAACCUCACCUCUCUUCCCAACGACAUGGGUUGUCUCCAAUCCCUUACACAUUUAGAGAUUUCUUCUUUUGAAAACCUUACCUCUCUUCCCAACGACAUGAGUUCUCUCCAAUCCCUUAUACAUUUAAAGAUUAAAGAUUUUGAAAACCUCACCUCUCUUCCCAACGACAUGGGUUGUCUCCAAUCCCUUACACAUUUAGUGAUUGUUCAUUGUCAAAAUCUUACAUCUCUUCCCAACGACAUAUGUCGUCUCAAGUCCCUCACUACUUUAACAAUUAAAUCUUGUCCAAGUUUGGUUGAUGUUUCUUUUUCUUUGGAAUAUCUUACUUCUCUAAAAGAAAUAGAAGUGGCCGACUGUGAUCAAUGGAUUAGAAAUUGGUCUGACGAUGCAAUAAGCAGAAUUUGCUCAGUUGAAAAACAUUCAUGGAUUUCGAUAUGCAGUAAGGAUGAUGAUUUAUUGUCUAGAUGGUUACGAAAGAAGAUCAAUUCCACCAAAAUAUUAGAUAGAUUGCAUAUCAACGGUGGCCAUGGAAACAAUAAUUUUUCUUUAAUGUACGUGCCACACGAGCUCAGUAUUUGUUGUUUUAAACAAAAGAAAUUGCCAGAAGAGUUGGUGCAUGUUCAGGAUCUUAAAUAUUUGUGCAUUGAAAAUUGUCCAAAUAUAAGUUACUUGCCGGAUGGGAUGAAAAAACCACAGUUUUUGUGGAUUGAAGAUUGCCCAAUGUUGGAGAGGUAUUGUAAAAAAAGACGUUACAAGUAUGAUGAUUAUAAUUAAUUCUUCACUUAAUCCAAGAAGAGCUAGCAGAUUUUAUCUUGAUGAACAUAUUUCUACCACAACAAUUCCAAUGGUAAAACUUCGUUUUUUUACUCAUUGUGUUUUAACAGGAUUUUUUGGAACUGUUUGUAAUUAGUUGAUUUUUUCGGAACUGAUAGAUUUUCUACCGGUUACAUAUACUCCUUACUAUCGGACCUGGUUCGUAUUUCUUCAUCAGCGGUGUUUCCACACAUUGCAAAAAAGGACAGAAGAUGAUCGUCAAGGUUUGAUCUACUUAUAUUAACCAUGUUCCGUCAGAAUCUCCAUCAGAAUCGCCGUCUUCGUUUCUUACAAAUCGAACUGACUCCACUCCUGCAUCUUCUCCUGAAACGCCGAAGCCGAAGUCCAACGAUGUUGUUGCGACUAACAUCUUCUUUGCAUUGUCGCCUCUUUGUGCGGUCUUGUAUCUUUCUUCUUUCUUUGAUUGUUGUAGAAUCUAUUUUUGUUUGAUUGUUGAAUAAUCUUUUUUUUAAACUUUCUUUCUGCUACGACUCCCUGAGCAUAGUGGAUCUGCUACGACUCUCUGAGUCUUACACUUGAAAUGAUUUCUAUAAACUUGAUUAAAUGGAAUACUAAGAUUCUCUGCAUCACUUAUACCAUAUUUUCAAAUAGCGUUUUGCCCUAGCCGGAUCUGAGUACGGAUCUGCUCCAAUAUCAUUGAUUUUUUUUAAUCUGUUUUAAAAAUAGAUUAGGGCUCCCAAUGGUCAUACUCUCCUUCUUCCUCCACCAGUCAUCCUUCUUCCAUUGGCUAGGCUUCCUCCAACCAGCGACCUUCUUCUCUGGUGACCUCAGGUGACAUCCAGGGAACAGUUUUUUCCGACCAGAACUUUCAUUUUUGUAGGAACAUCAUUUCCUUGAGUUUUUCUGUUUUUUGUAACUACUAUUAUAUAUAUGAGGAUUAUUUUUGGGUAGCCCCUUAAACUUAUUUUUGGAUGCCCCAAUCAUAAACCAACGAAUGAUGAUUAUCAAAUGGCGGGAAGAGGUAUUUAAUUGGGUUUUGAAAAUCAAAUUGGUCUCAAUCUUUAUUUAUAAUUAUUUUAUAUAUAUUAUCAUGGUUUAAAUCAUAUCUUAUCUUCCAAUUCAGCUGCGUUUUACAAACUUGGAUGAUAUCUACUUGUUCAAUUUCAUCUAUCUUCGGAAGUGAAAGACAAAGUAGUUGAGUUAAUGGUUUGAUCAGGUCGUAUAUUAAUUUCAACUUUGAUUUUUUCCCAAAGAGAUUCCUUUCAUUUUAGCCGAUGAGGAUCAGAAUCUCUAGUAAAUAUCACAUAAAUGGUUGGCCAAUGUUGAUUGUCUCCAUUAAUGAAUUUGGACCAUGCUUUCCUGCUAUGCCUGGAAAUAUAUUAAUAUUAACAAACAUAUAUAUCACAUGUUUUCAUGUCUCCAAUUCUUUGUUAAUGAAUAUUUAUCUAUUUAAGAAAUUAAGAUAAAAACAGUAUAAUUCAUUAUCUUAUACCUCCCAACAAGUGUUUGAAGUUGAGGAUCGAUCAAGCUCCAAAUGGUAUUUUUUAGAUAAGAAUCUAGUUCAUCUGUUCCAAGAACCUGAAAAAUAAAAUAGGAACGUACAUGGUUUUUUGUUUGAUCGAUAUACAAAGAGCUAAAAAACUUCAAUCAUUUAAUUAAAGCAUACCACCAGAUGACAAUCGAUGAUAAAUCACAAAGAAUUAACGAUAGAAUUCAUUGAUGGGAAUAAGAGAGUGCUGCUACAGGGAGAUCCCUAUCUGUCGGAAUCAGAAAUUAUGUACAAAAUCGAGUUUUUUUGUUGUCUCCAAAACUACUAGUUAUUGUAUUUAUCUACCGUGGGAUGUUUAUUUGAAAUCUGUCUAUCUUGGUGUAGACGUAUGUCUAUGGUGAUCUCUAUCGCUGUGGUGAUCUCUAUAGACGUACUAGCAGAUUUCUAGUCCUAAUAGCCCACCUCCCCGCAGUGCACACCAAGAAGUUGCUUGGAAGGAUCAUCUAUAUAUGUUUGGUAAGUUAAGUUGUACUUGAAGUGCUAUUAUUUAAUGACAUGAACAUAUUAUUUAAUCAAAUUAAGUUGUAAUAUAUAAAUAAAUACCACUAAGUGAAUUUUAAAAUGCUUAAUUCCCUUAACCCAACUUCCGUUUCUCAAUCUCUACAUGGUAUCAAAGCCUUCUAAGGCUCCAAUAACACCAAGCUCCCACUGAAGUACAACAUAAACUCUGUCUUCCGAACGGCGAUGGAAAAGCUCGACUAUACUUGCUGGCACUCUCAGUUUAAGACAGUCCUCGAGCUCCAUGAGCUCACACAGAUUGUGAAGGAGGACCCGCCAUCGACGGAAGAAAGCCUUGACUACGAGGACUGGCGACAUGCUGACCGGUUGGUCAUGACUUGGAUUAAGUUCACCGUCGCCACUUCCGUCCAGCAGAUGAUUGUUUCCUGCAAAAUGGCCAAGGAGGCAUGGGAUCGAUUGGAGAAGUUUCUCUCCCCACUGUGCGUGAUUCACGUGAAGAAUCUUCGCAAUAACAAGUUGUGCACGGCCAAGAAGACCCCUGAGAAUUCUAUGACGGAUUACUUAGUCAUGAUUCGCACCACUGCUGACGCUCUAGCCACGGCAGGCUCACCAGUCCCGGAUGAUGAUAUUGUAGGCUACACGCUUGAUGGACUCGACUUCAACUAUAUAAGGAUCCAGUCGACGUUGCAACUCCAACCAGGUCUGACGUUUGAUGAACUUCUGUCCUUACUAAUCCGCGAGGAGGAUUCGAUUCAGAGGAACCAACCACCUGAAACACCGGCGGCACUAUAUGCACGAAACAACGCUCCACGAACAGGGGAGUCUGGACGUGACAAGAGUCGCAACCGAGGUCGUGACAGAAAGGGAAAAUCGAAUCGCUAUAAAGGAAGUAGGACCGACGACAAAUCAAAAACCGUUGAAGAACACACUGCUGCUCCUCCCACUGGAUCAGGAACGACUCCACCGCUGCUACCAACACCGACGGCGAUGCAAUUUUCCGGCCCAUGCCAAAUCUGCGCGCGAUUCGGACACCACGUGAGAGCUUGCCCAGACAGGAACAAUCAUGUGUUUGUUGCAGAUUCUACAACCUCUGGAAUGUCUGCCCUCUCACUAUCUGGUCCAAUCUCAGGGGAAAGUUCCACUUCUGGGUCAUCUGCAGGCGACUGGCGCCUUGACUCGGGAGCCACGCACCACAUUACUCCGUCGUCGUCUGCCCUGACUCAACCUCGCCGGUACAAUGGUAAUGAUCGAAUUUUAAUAGGAGAUAGAUCAUCUCUUCCAAUUGCCCACUCGGGCACUAUUGAUGUACGCACGGAGGAUGGUGAGAUUCGACUCACCAAUACCCUCCACGUACCUGGACUAUAUCGAAACCUUCUAUCCAUGAAGUGUCUCGCCACUGACCUGCAAGCUUUCAUUCUUAUUGACGAAUUUGGUUUCACCGUGAAGGAGAAAGCGUCCGGGAGGACGAUCGCUCGUGGACUUAAUAACAAAGGAAUGUACCACUUGUCCGGUCGACACUUUAGAGGUGCGGCGAUGACAGGGGUGGGGUACACACAAGUGUGGUCGGGUGGCACCACAGGCUCGGCCAUCCAUCUGAUACCGUCCUAAAGAAAGUUAUCUCGCUCGUUCCAGUUCGUGGCCCUUCGCGACUGCAAUUUUGUCAAGUUUGUGCCUUGAACAAAGGCAGACGACUGUCGUUCUCCACGAGGUCCUCCACUGCCUCUCGGCCACUGGAAGUGUUACAUCUCGAUUUGUGGGGACCGGCGCCGGUGGUCUCUAAGGAGGGAUACAAGUUUUAUUUCAGUAUUGUUGAUGAUUUUUCCCGAUUUUCUUGGAUUAUGCCUAUGGCGUUUAAAUCAGAAUGCUAUGCCUAUUUCUCUAAAUUUGUUCGUCGAAUUGAAAAUCAACUUAUUCACAGAGUAGUAUGGGUUCAAUGCGACGGGGGUGGGGAGUUCAUCAACAUGGAAUUCACAAACUUUCUGGUAUCUAAAGGGAUAUAGAGACGAAUCUCGUGCCCACAUACGCCGCAGCAGAACAGCGUCGUCGAGAGAAAGCACCAGCAUCUAGUCCAAAUUGGAAGGUGUCUACUGAACAAUUCCGGCAUUUCUCAUCUGUACUAGACACAUGCGUUCCAGAGUGCGGUAUUUAUUGCCAACAGACUACCGACUCCUGUCCUCGGCAAGACGAGUCCGUUUGAAAAAUUGUUGAAUCGAAUGCCGGAUUAUAGCAUACUUCGUAAUUAUGGGUGUUUGUGUUUUCCACUAAUUCCAAAUUAAAAGCGAUGCGGAGCAAGCUCGACACUACGUCCAGACCGUCGUGUUUCAUUGGCUACGCCAAUGAAUAUAAGGGCUACAUUUGCUUAGACCCGAUCACCGGGAAAAUUGUGGUGUCGUGGCAUGUUCUAUUCGAGGAGAACACUAUGCCGUUUCAUCUCAAACAAAGUACAGAUGAGACCAGCAACGGCUCGGAUGAGCUGUUUUGUUUGUUGCAGAGUCUCCCAGUCGUCACUGACAACUCACCAACAUCACACAGUCACAGAGCAGACUACACCCGAUAAUUCGAGCUCCAGUCUCUAUGCUCCCGAGACUGUACCGUCUCACAUGAUCUCUGACCCAAGAUCGUCCUCGACUGAAGCAGUAUCGUCUGUCGAUAGAACAGUACCCCCAUCGACGCAUCUAUCAGCAGGCACGCUGAAGAGAUCGCAACGUACGUCGCAGCGACCGAUACGCUUCAGAGAUUUCGUAGUCGACCUUCCCAAGGAAGCCCACAUAUAAAGAAUAUCCGCGAUUUCCGACGUCGACAAACCAACUGACAUCAAGCAGAUCAGAGAGCCGCGAACAGUCCGAGAGGCCGUACUCGACCCACAAUGGGUGGCAGUGAUGGAAGUCGAACUCGAAGCGUUAUCGCGGAACAACACGUGGGACUUAGUCCGGCCUUCUCCACGUAUGAAUAUCGUCGGAUGCCGAUGGGUUUUCAAACUCAAAGAAAAGGCCCGCUUAGUCGCGAAGGGCUUCCAUCAACGAGAAGGGCAGGACUUCGAUCUUACAUACAGCCCUGUAACCAAAGCGGCAACAAUCAGAACCAUCCUCGCCUUGUCCACGGCCAAGGGAUGGCCGUUGCAUCACCUGGAUGUUUGCAACGCGUUUUUGAAUGGAAGGCUCACUGAAGUCGUGCACAUGUCACAGCCGCCGGCGUUCAUAAACAAAGAAUUUCCCAAUCACGUUUGUCGCUUGAACAGGGCUCUGUAUGGCCUCAAACAAGCACCACGAGAGUGGUACCGGCGCCUGAGUACCUUCCUCAAAAGGAUUGGAUUCGUCAAUAGUCAGGCAGACUUUUCGCUCUUCAUUCGCCGAUUCGUUCUGCAGUGUGUAUAUGUGCUGGUAUACGUGGACGAUUUCAUCAUCACCGGGAGUCACCCAGCAGAGAUUAAAUCGUUUAAGCGUACGGUAUGCAACAAAUUUCAGUGCCUAUAUCUGGGAAGUCUGUCAUACUUCCUUGGAUUGGAAGCCAACAUUGCGAACGGAAAUCUACUAAUCACUCAGAGGAAAUACUCGAUGGGGCUACUCCAACGAUUUGGGCUAGUCGAAAGUAAACCUAUUGCUACACACGAGGCUCCGGGAAAGCAUCUAUCCAAGGAUGGCGGUGAAUUAUUCGACGAUCCCCAAAGGUAUCGAAGUCUUGUAGGCGCCCUACAAUACCUGACGCUGUCGAGACCGGAUAUCGCUCAUGCCGUCAAUCAAGUUUGCAAGUAUAUGCAACAUCCUACUGCCGAUCACUGGAAGGCUGCCAAGCGAAUUCUCCGGUAUAUUAAAGGCACGCUCCACAUGGGUCUGGAAUUUCGUUCCUCGAAGUCGACUGAUCUCCAGGUAUACGUCGAUUCGGAUUGGGCCGGCGAUCCAGAUGAUGGAGGUCGACGACAGGGUCCUGCAUUUUUCUUGGACCAAAUCUGGUCACCUGGAUGUCGCAUAAGCAACCCACGGUGUCGCGAUCUUCGGCGGAGGCCGAAUACCGGGCUAUUGCCUAUGCGACUGCAGAACUCCGUUGGUUAUGCCAACUACUACGAGAAUUGGGAAUUCACCUACCGCGGUCGAUUCUGAGCGACAGUAAAUCGGCUAUGUUCAUGGUGAACAAUCCGGUUGUGCAAGCAAGGACGCGACAUAUGGAGAUCGACUACCAUUAUGUCCGCGAAUUUGUGGCUAACAGAUCCCUUACAGUACAACACAUUUCAAGUGCAUUUCAGAUCGCUGAUCUGUUCACGAAGGCACUGUCCACGGAUCUGUUUCGCCGGCACCGGCGUCGACUCAAUCUCGUCGACGUUUCGCCGUCGUGAUUUAAGGGGAGUAUUGGAAUACAGAUAAUGUUAGGGUCAUUAUAGAUAUUCAUACAAUCAAUGUACUAUAAAUACAGCACAUAGGCAUGCUGUAAUCUAUACGAAGUAUAAUACAGAGCAUCCCUUAACCCAACUUCCGUUUCUCAAUCUCUACAUUAAUCACCCUUGAAAAUUUCUUAAGGUGUUUCCUUUAAAUCGUCUGUUUCUGAAUUUGAAUGUUAUCAAUUUCAGUAUUCUUUAUUUCUUUCUUUCAUCUGUUAUAUUAUAUUUUCUCUAUAGGAGGUGAAUUUACAUCCCCAAACCAAGAACGUUUUCAUCACUACAAGGUAUCUCUUUUUAAUAUUAUGUGGUAGCAACAUGAAUCAUUAAUUCUCAUUCUUAAUCAUCAUACUGUGUGAAAUUGGAAAUCGAAGAAAAUCUAUUUUAUGCAAUCAAUCAUUCAUAUAUAAAUAAUGUUAUGAUCAAUGGCAACAUACCCAAAUUUACUAUAAAGAAUGUGCCAUAUUAUUCUUAACCAUUUUGACAGUUUAUGUUUUAUUUUAUACUGAAUUACUACUUUCAAAACAGCUUAUGCUUUUUUUUCUUGAUUGCAUAGGAUUUUUGGACACUGAAUCUUAAAACAAACCAAUGGGAACAACUACUUUUGAAAGGAUGUCCAACUGCACGCUCAGGACAUCGCAUGGUAUGUCUCUUUUUAUUUGCUACUUUAGUGCUUACACCAGUGGUAAGUACUUGCCUAUUCCAUAAUUCCCUUUUUACUUUCAUUUUUAUAAUAGUUGAUUGGAAAAUAAAUAAUGUUAAAUCUUACAUAGGUUAAACAUUCCUAAUUCACAUAGUAUAUUGAUGCAAUACAAAGUGGUCUUGGUUAUGCAUCCAAGGACUUAAUUGGAAAUGACCAAGUGGAAGGUAAUUGGCUUGACCAAGGUCAAGCCAAUUCAUAUCAUUUUUAGGGAAUAUUUAACUCACAUUAUUGGGUUGCUCAUUACCAAUAAUGUGAGUAUAAAUACAAUGGGCCCUUGAGAGGAAGAUCAGUUUAGAAUAUUGUGCAAACAAGGUAUUACCUUAAUUACUCCUCUCUCUCAUUGCUGAAUAUCUUCUACUUCUUCUUGCUUUUCUUACCACUACCUUCACUAUUAUUCACUGUUCUUAGAUCUAGAUCAAAAACUUGGUGGAUUCCAAGCCCCGAUUUGGUCAUUGUGAGGAAGAUAUCCAUCUUCAUCACUGUUUUCGUUUGUCUACUGCAUUGGAGAGUUUCCAACUACAUCAGGUGGUAUCAGAACUUGGUUAGUGAUCGGAAGCUCUCCAAAUCAUGGUUGAUGAUCAUGUGUCGUGCCAAGAAUGCGAAGCUACGACGAAAGCCAUUGCAGAUCUUACUACUGCAAUGCGAGAAGAAUUUCAGGAGUUAAGGAGAUCCAUUACAGCUCCGGGAGAACCGAUGGUGACUGCUGACGGUCGCCCACUACCUGAUCGGAGGCAUCUGGAUCCGUCGUCCACUGUCUUAGAACCACCAGCGGGUGUGUAUCAACGUUGGCCAAUAGAAGAUAACCUGUCUGCACUUAUCAGAGAAGGAACAAAAUGCAGAUAGAUGGGGGUCGACGUUCGCCGGAACCAGUAGCGCCGUUCUUUCCUCGCCGGCCGGUGGACCUUCCGAUAAACACUUAUCAGAGGAGAGGUAAUAAUCUUACUAAUCACUUAGAUCAGUUUGCAGAAUUGUUUGAUGAUGAAUAUGAAGAUGUUGAGUAUAUGCCACCAUGAACCAACCAAAGAAGGCAGCAAUAUCAGAGGAUGAGAAGAGAAUUCACUGAUGCGAACGAUUGUGGAAUUGUGGAUCAGAGGCAAUACCCGAGGAGGCAAGGGCAGUUCAAGCUGAAGAUGGAUAUUCCAUCAUUUAAUGGGACUGCCCAUAUUGAGGAGUUUCUGGAGUGGUUAGUAGAGGUAGAGCGUUUCUUUGACUAUAUGGAUAUAGAUGAGGAUCAACAGGUAAAAUUGGUGGUGCUGAGGUUCAAGGGCGUGGCUUCUACCUGGUAGACUACCACUAAUAUAAAGAGAGCUAACCAAAGACCAGUCCGCACUUGGCAAAAACUAAAAAAAUUGCUUAAACAAAGAUUUUUGCCAAGCGAUUAUGAGGGAGUAUUAAUUACACAGUACCAUCAGUGCUGCCAGGGAGUAUGUGACAUAAUCAUUGACAAUGAAUCAACGGAUAAUUUAAUCUCUUGGAAGGCUGUAAAGAAGUUAAAUUUGACACUGGAAGAUCACCCUAAACCUUAUAGUGUCUCGUGGAUCCACAGUGGAAGUUCAGUCACAAUCAACAAGAGUUUUAAGGUCCCACUGUCAAUUGGGAGAAGAUAUAAGGAUGAAAUCACUUGUGAUGUGGUUAAUAUGGAUGCGGCACACGUAUUGUUAGGUAGACCAUGGCAGUAUGAUGUGCUUGCACAUUAUAAUGGGAGGACUAAUCAGUACAUAAUUAAGGUGGAAGGACUGAAAGUGGCUCUACUACCAUUGGCACUUGAAAAAAAUCAACCAUCUGAGAAGCCAAAUUUGUUAGUCACAACACAUGGGGAUUUUAGGAUGACACUUGCUGAAAACGGUACUGGGUUAGCACUGAUAGUGAAAGAAAUCACUGAAAGUAAAAUAAUCUGUAUUCCUACUGCAAUAUCAGAAUUAUUAAAGCAGUUUCCUAGUGUCACUGAAGAAGAACUGAAAGUUCUACCACCACACAGAGCUAUUGACCACAGGAUUGACCUUAACCCUGGAGCCUCAUUACCAAAUUUACCUCAUUACAGAAUGAGUCCAGUAGAAUCUGAAAUAUUUUAAAAUCAAGUAGAGAAAUUGAUGAAGGAAGGACUGAUCAGACCAUCCAUUAGUCCUUGUGCAGUUCCAGCCUUAUUGGUACCCAAAAAAAAUGUGAGUGGAGAAUGUGUGUUGAUAGCAGAGCUAUCAACAAAAUCACAGUGAAAUAUAGAUUUCCUAUACCAAGGUUGGGGGAGUUGUUGGAUGUGUUGCUAGGAUCUAAAUAUUUUACAAAAUUAGAUCUAAAAAGUGGUUAUCACCAAAUAAGGAUAAAAGAAGGGGAUGAGUGGAAAAUUGCCUUCAAAACCAGCAAGGGAUUAACAAAACGGUGGUGGUUUACUUUGAUGAUAUAUUAAUAUACAACAAAGAUAAAGAAACACAUAUUGAGGAUAUAAGCAAAGUAUUACAGUUACUGAAUGAAAAUCAUUUGAAAUUGAAUUUACAAAAAUGUGAUUUUAUGGUUCAUGAAGUGCAUUUUUUGGGAUAUAUAGUUAGUGCUAGUGGACUGAAAGUGGAUCCUGCAAAAACAGAAGCAUUGAGAAGCUGGCUGUCUCCAACCAAUGUAACUGAAGUAAGGAGUUUCUUGGGGUUGGCCUCUUUUUAUAGGAGGUUCAUCAGGGACUUUUAAGUGGUCUUAGUUAUGCAUCCAAGGACUUAACUUGGUGGCCAUGAUAGUAUUAUUGAAGUUACUCAUUCUAUGAGCCAGAAUCUUUCUAUCAAUGAUUGUGUAGUUACUGAUAGAAAUACAAUUCAAACAAAUGGAAAUUUUAAACCCCGAGUGUGCUCAUCAAAUGAGGUCAGUUGCAGUAAAGUUUAAUGCCAUUUUAUUAUUGGUGUAUUACUCUACCAUAACAAUUCAAUUUUAGGCAGUGAAACCUUGUGGACGUAUCAAUUCUUGUAUGUUUGUUGGAAGAGAUACAUUAUAUCUUUAUGGAGGUAUGAUGGAAAUCAAAGAUCAAGAAAUCACACUUGAUGAUCUUUAUACGUUAAAUCUUAGUAAACUUGACGAAUGGAAGUGUAUCAUACCGGUAUAUUUAAAUUUCAGUCUUUCAUUUGCUACUUUAAAGCAUAGAUUAAAAAGCGACGCUUAAAGCGUCGCUUUAAUAGCUUAAAGCGGAAAAGCGCUCCUGGAGGAGCGCUUUCCAAAUCGCUUUUUUUAAGCGGGUGAGUGGAUCGGGUUAGUGGGUUUCUACCCAUCACCAGGCAGUAGAAGCUUAGAGAAGGGAGGAGGAGAAAGAUAUGUAAGCUGCAGUAGAAGCAAACUCUUCAAACAGAUUUCUUCCUCUUUUAUAGUUGCUGGAAGUUUCUCAUGGUCCAGCACCUGUCUGGCCAGGUGUCUUCCCAAAUUAGACACCUGGUUGGUUUGUUACACCUAUAAAUAUUACACAUAUAAAUUACACCUAUAAAUUACACCUAUAAAUAUUCAUCACCUGGUUGGUUUGUUAAACGGUGUAACAAGUUAUAUUACACCUAUAAAUAUUACAUGUUUACUGUAAUAGGAAAUGAUAAAAAAAUACCCUAAAAAUAGCUUAUAAAUAGGAAAUGAUAAAAAAUACGUGUAGUAAGAUAACAUUUUCAGCAAGGUGGAAAUGUUAUUUUACACAUUUUACUACACGUUUGCAGUAAGAUAACAUUGGGUCUUGUGUUUUCAUCAUUCUAUUAGCUACCUGUCUGCAAAUUAUAUGAAAAGUUUAUGUAAUUUCAUCAUUCUAUUGGGUCUUGUAUUUUAAGCAAGUUGCUCUAAGUUUUCGAAAUUUAAUCCAAAAAAUUAAAAAUAAUUUGGAGAUGGCCAAAGAAAGAAAUCUAUUAUUAGAACAUGGUUAUAAAAACAAUAAUGACCAUGAUAAUGACAAAAACAGGGAUUCUUGUAGUGUUUUAUUUUUACAUCGAAUUGAAGAGUUUUAGUUUUAACAGAAUGCUAGAUGAGAAAGGAGACGGAAAAGACAGAUGAGUAUGAACGAAAGCCUCUUUGGAUUAUAGAUUGAAAACUAUAUAAAGGGUAAAAGCUAGCCUUUUUUUUGCGUUUUUCAAAUUUAAAACGAAAGUAUUUGAAAAACAAAUGUUAAUAAUAAUAUAGAUAACUGAUUGUCUCAGUUAAACCUUUGUAUAUCACUAUUAUGAAGGUUUUUAACUGAAAAUAAGUAAAAUUAUAUAUUAAUAUGACCCGCCAAACUCAAUAAUAAAGCCAUAAGAGCACAUGAGAGGGUAGAGUGAGAGACGGAAGAAGAUGACUGACUCAUUAUACCCGUCAAACAUGUCGGGUCUAGGUUCGGGUGGAUAUUUUCAGCUAUGAAAUCUGUUGAACCUGAAUUUUUUUCACCCGAUUUUUUCGAGUUCGGGUUGAAAUUUUUUUAUUAAAAAAACCUUAAAAUAAUUGUCGAGCUCGUGAGCUUCGAUCUUGAGUCUGGACAAUGCCUUAACGAGUUCGAGCCCGAGCCUGAAUAAUUCUUUAACGAGUUGAGCUCGAGUCCGAAUCCGGCUCUAUAAGCAAAAGCUUGGCUAGUCUUGUUUGACACUCUAGCAGUAGCUAACCUUUUUUUACGUUUUUCAAACUUAAAACGAAAGUAUUUAAAAAACAGCUGUUAAUAAUAAUAUAGAUAAAUGAUUGUCUAAGUUAAACCUUUGUACGUAUAUCACAAUUACAAAGGUUUUUAACUGAAAAUAAGUAAAAUUAUAUAUUAAUAUGAGUAUAUGACCCGUACUGUAUAAAUGAAAAUAACAAGCUGUAAUUCGUUCGAACGUCAGACUCAAUAAUAAGGGAAAGUAGAUUGAAAGACGGAAGAAGAUUCGUUAGUUUUUUGUCAUUUUCUAUUAUUUAAUAACGGUGGUUUAAUUAAUUGAAACAUAUUCGUUGGGAUUAUUCACCAAAUAAGAUUCCAUCGAUCUCAACUUUCAUUGUUUUCUUCAACAUUUUCAUACGGAAGUAUUAUAAAUUGCUGGUUGUUCAUGAAAUCAGAAAUCUUAUACAUGUUUUAAAUUAUUUGUCACCAUUUUAAAUUGAUUUCUUCUGAUGACAGAUAACCUAAAAUUUUCUAUUCAUGCUGCAUUAUGUCAGUUUUUGGAUAGAUCGACCGUGAGUCAUGUUCAAAGAAAAACCUUUGGGUGAUGGUUGAUUCGCUGUUCAUUUAAAUGAUUCUUUAUUCAUGGCUCACAUUUAUUUAAUCUCUAUAUAUAUAUAAUUACUCCGUCGAUAGUAUAGCUCUGUCUCUACUUCCAAAAUUCCGAACAUUGUCAUUCUACCUUUCAAGAUUUCUUCUCCACAACCAAUCGAAGCCAUGGAAUCGGUGCUAAUAUCAUUUAUUCUGGAAGAGGCCUCAAAACAUUUGAUCAAAGUUCUGGGGGCGGAAUUCACACUCAUAAAAAAUACUCCGGGCGAAUUGGAAAAACUGAAAAGAUUCAAGACAAUCAUCGUCAAUGUUCAACGAGACGUCGCCGGUCGGGAAUUAAGCCAACAAGAUGUUGUCUGGCUGGAUGAGAUGAUAGAUGCUGCGUAUGAUAUCGAGGAUAUCGUAGAUCUGUUUAAUACAAAGAUUCUUCGACGGAGAAGCAACAACAACAGGAUAUCAACACGGUAUACCCGUCGGGUAAUUGAUUUCUUCUCUUGCACCAAUAAUACUCUUAUUUUUCGCCACAAAAUAGGAACUAGGGUGCAAAAUACAUUCGUUAGAUUGGCUAAUAUUGCGGAAGAGAAGAAAUAUCAUCUUACUCUUAGUGGGAGGGAUGGAGUAGAAAACCUGAGAUCAACAAUGCCUGAGACCUUUUCUGAAAUGGGUGAGGAUGAUGUACUGGGAAGAAAACAUGAUCUUAAAAUUAUACUUGAAUAAUUAUUGUUCAAAGAGAAAACAAACAGCGAGGUGCUUGUUUUAGUCGGAAUGGGUGGUGUUGGGAAGACCACACUUGCAAAACUCGUGUACAAUGAUAGCCAAGUAGAUGCUAUCUUUGGUAAAAGAAAGCUUUGGGUUUGCGUAUCAGAAAAUUUUGAUCUGUCGAAAAUUAUCAAACUUGUUAUUGAGCAAAUAGAUGGACACCCGUGUCAACUCGAAGGAUUGCAAGCGUUGAGCAAGAAAUUGAAAGAGCUUUUAGAAAAAAACACGUAUUUAUUAGUUUUGGACGAUGUUUGGACCAGUUCAAGUUUAACUUUGGAUUCUUGGUCGAUUAUGAAAUCAUUGUUUCGUAAUUGUAAGAUUCUGGUAACAACUCGUGAGGAGAAUGUAAAAUAUGUGAUUUUACCAGAAUCUUGCAUACAUCGUGUGGGAUAUCUAUCUUAUGAUGAUUCUCGGACAUUGUUCGAGAAUAUUGCAUUUCCCAAUGGUGAUGUUCCAGAGAAAUUGAAAGAUAUCAGCAAAAGUAUUGUGAAAAAAUGCGAUGGUGUACCUCUAUCUCUGAAGGUUCUUGGUAGUAUGAUGCGAACCAACCAAGAUUACUCUUACUGGAUAGGGAUUGAGAAAAACAAUAUUCUCGAUCCUAAUAUUAAAGGUGAAAAUAGAAUAUUCAAGAUUCUAAAAUUCAGCUAUUAUCAUCUUCCUUUAAAGUCAAAGUUUUGCUUUGUCUACUGUUCUAUUUUCCCCAAAGAUUCAGUUAUGUUUAAAAUAGACUUGAUCCGACAAUGGGUUGGCAAUGGUUUUAUUCCGCUUAACGAGGGAAAUGAGAUUUUCGACGAUUUAUUGUCAAGAUGUUUCUUCCAAGAUGUCGAGAAAGAUGUUUACGGAAGCAUCACAACAUUUAAAAUGCAUGAUUUAAUCCAUGACCUUGCUGAAUCUAUUGCUAAGUCUCUGCAAUGUGGAAUCUUGGAUGAUAGUAUUCAAGAUAGAAAUCUAUCAGAUAGAAAGCAAGUUCGUUAUUUAUCGAUAAUAUUAAACAUGGGAAAAGAAGAAGAAGCUUCUUAUUCAAAUAUUUUGAUCAAAUUGAAAGAUGCAUGUGUGCUACGAACAUUGCAGUUGUUAUCUUAUGGUAUUGUAAGUAAGACAUUUCUGGAUAAUUGCUUCACCAAGUUCAAAUUCUUGCGGGUUUUGGUUUGUUUUGCUCAGUCUAAUCUUGAAGAUAUCCCACCUUCCAUCAACAACCUCAAGCUUCUUAGAUAUGUUGACUUCUCAUUUACGAAUAUAAGACAACUCCCAGAAACGGUCUGCAACCUUCAAAAUUUACAGACGUUGAAACUCAACAAUUGUCGAUAUCUUAUUGUUUUGCCAAAGAAGUUGAGAAAAUUAUCCGAGUUAAGGUAUUUGACAAAUGAUAAUUGUUCUGGUUUGGAUUCAAUGCCUGAUGGGAUGGAUCGCUUGAGUCUUUUGCAGACAUUGGAUAUUUUUGCAGUGAAUGAUGGAGGUAAAAAUUUAAAUGAUUUACGACAUCUGAAUCAUCUAGAAGGAAGUCUUUGUAUAAAAAAUCUUCACAGAAGUCGAAAUGUUGUUUUGGAAAAUGGAAUAUUAAAAAGUAAGAGCAAACUUGUAUCAUUGGAAUUGAAUUUUGGAUAUAAUUGUAAACCGACUGAAGAUGUAAAAGUAUUAUAAGCUUUACAACCACAUUCCCAUUUGAAAUCUUUAUGUAUAAGUUCUUUUGGUGGAUUCUUCAUUCCCUUAGACAUGAGUUCUCUUAAAUCCCUUACACAUUUAAAGAUUUCAAGUUGUGAAAACCUUACAUGUCUUCCAAACAACAUGGGUUCUCUUAAAUCCCUUACACAUUUAGAGAUUCAAUUUUGUAAAAAC
rnacentral:lncRNA from 1 species